CAUAAACCCUAGCCUCCCUCCUCUCCGCCUCUCUUCCCCUCCACCCGGCGACCUGCCCCCAGCCAAACCCUAGCUCCCCCUCCGGACUCCACAGCGGCGAGUCUCACCGGUUGCCGGUGGGGAGGAUGAGCAGGCGGUGGAGCCGGACGAUCUACGUGGGAAACCUCCCCGGCGACAUCCGGGAGAGGGAGGUGGAGGAUCUCUUCUACAAGUAUGGACGAAUUGUUGACAUUGACUUGAAGAUCCCUCCGAGGCCGCCAGGUUUUGCUUUUGUUGAGUUUGAAGAUCCCCGUGAUGCUGAAGAUGCAUGUGCUGGCAGGGAUGGCUAUAACUUUGAUGGACACCGUCUAAGGGUUGAACCUGCUCAUGGUGGGAGAGGUCAUGGUUCCUCCUACGACCGUCCCAGCAACUUUGGUGGUGGACGCCGUGGCGUUUCCAGGCACUCAGAAUACCGUGUUAUGGUUACUGGGUUGCCUUCUUCUGCAUCAUGGCAAGAUCUAAAGGACCAUAUGCGUAAGGCUGGUGAUGUUUGUUUCUCAGAAGUGUAUCGCGAAGGCAGUGGUACUGUAGGGAUUGUGGACUACACAAACUAUGAUGACAUGAAAUAUGCUAUAAAGAAGCUUGAUGACAGUGAAUUCAGGAACGCCUUUUCCCAUGGUCACAUAAGGGUGAAAGAAUAUGAUGGCAAGCGUGCCCGCUCUUAUUCACGUAGCCGGAGCCCAAGUCGUAGUCGAAGCAAAAGCAGGAGUCUAAGCAAAUCUCCUAGAGCUCGCCGUUCAGCAUCCCGAUCUCGAUCUCGAUCAAGGUCUGUUUCUUCCCGUUCACGGUCAGCAUCAAAAGGGCGUUCUCCAUCAAGGAUAUUGAGGAUGGUAUUUCCUCAAUUUGCUGUUGGUUGCGUGAGAGAUUUGGGCAUAGCGCGUUGUUUGGAAUUCUGGACAUAAGAGCAUUAAGGAUUGACGAUAUUUGGAUAAUGAUGGUACAAUGACUAGGAAUGUGCUUGGCGUUCAAUGCUUGAGGAAUAAGUUCUCUCCCUACCUCGGGCAUGAUUCAUAUGAUCGCCAGCAGCAUCCAAAUCUCCUAAUGCUUCUCCUGCAAAUGAAGCAUCAAGCCCCAAGAAACGGAGCCCAAGCAGGAGCCCAUCUCAUU